rnacentral:misc_RNA from 1 species
GUUGGAAAUAAGAAGAAUUUAAGGUUAUUUUACAUGAUGGGUCAAAUAAGACCCACAAGAUUCCAGAGCAAGGAACUUCGCGUUAUUUUUCUGCAAUCAAAUAAGACCCACAAGAUUCCAGAGCAAGGAACUUCGCGUUAUUUUUCUGCAAUCAAAUUAGGUUUUGAGAAUGUUUGAAUUUGAGAAUUUUUCAAGGAUCUGUAGGUUUUUGUCUGAUUUGUUAUAUAGAAGAAAGAGGUUUUGGUAGUGAAAAACAUGACUUGCUUGCUGCUUGAGGUUGUGAAAUUAAAUUGUAUUAAAGCGUAAAAAGAGGAAGGCAGCCAUUGUAGAUGGUGAGGGCAUCAAGGUUGGGCACAGCACGGUACACCGCCCGUAUGAAGGAAGGUCAUCACACGGCCAUGCUGUACGUUGACGCAGAGAGUUUCACACGGCCGUGUAAGUCCAGUAGCCUGAAAUGACCAACAUUAAAUUAGAAAAGAAGGUUGGGCAAAGAAGGUGCACGGCGCGGUCGCAUGAAAGAAGGUCAUCACAUGGCCAGGCUGUGUGUAGAAGCAAAGAGGAGCUCUCUGUGUGAAUUUACAUGGCCGUGUAACGUCCAGCAGCCUGAGAAUUCCAAGUCAGGGAGGUACACGACCAGGCAUUCUGUGAUCUGAGAAGUUUUUAGUUUACCAGUUCUCUUAAUUUCUACGAUUUGCUAUAAACGUAAAGUAUUUCGAUUAAAAUUUUUGUGAAGUUCCAUAUAAAGUCGAUGCUAAAUCAGUAAAUGGAAUGUUAAUUGGAACACUUGGGUGUUGGAAUAAAGUUUUGGAGAGAAUGUCAGCAAGUAGAGGAAGAGAUAAAUUGAUAUUAUCUUGAGAAUUACCAUGUCA